GGAUAGAGCACCGGCCUUCUAAGCCGGGGGUUGCAGGUUCAAGUCCUGCCGCGCCUACCA
rnacentral:tRNA from 1 species